GACGAACGCUGGCGGCGCGCCUAACACAUGCAAGUCGAACGAGCGAGAGGAGGUUUACUUUCUCAGGCGAGUGGCGAACGGGUGAGUAACGCGUGAGGAACCUGCCUCAAAGAGGGGGACAACAGUUGGAAACGACUGCUAAUACCGCAUAAGCCCACGACCCGGCAUCGGGUAGAGGGAAAAGGAGCAAUCCGCUUUGAGAUGGCCUCGCGUCCGAUUAGCUAGUUGGUGAGGUAAUGGCCCACCAAGGCGACGAUCGGUAGCCGGACUGAGAGGUUGAACGGCCACAUUGGGACUGAGACACGGCCCAGACUCCUACGGGAGGCAGCAGUGGGGAAUAUUGCACAAUGGGGGAAACCCUGAUGCAGCGACGCCGCGUGGAGGAAGAAGGUCUUCGGAUUGUAAACUCCUGUUGUUGAGGAAGAUAAUGAC
rnacentral:rRNA from 1 species